rnacentral:rRNA from 1 species
UGAGGUUCUUCCAAAAGGGCCGUGAAACCGCUUAGAAUAAAACGGACGGAGCCGUCAGGAGCCUUUGGGAAUCAGUCGUUGGAUUUCGCGAAAGUGUUUGGUAUCAGAGCGAAAGUCUGUUCCGACGUUAGUAGCAGCAAUCUAGCGGCGCAUUUCCUAUUGGUAUGCACUGCGACCGAUACUGAUGGCCAGUGAAGCGAUCGGGUUGAGGUCGAAUCCCGCAAGGGAGUCGUUUCCAGCCCUUUCGCGUUAGUCGCUGGACCGAAAUACGUAUCGAGUGCUAUCGAAUGUGUGUCGGCGAAAACGCUCGUUGAGCGGUGGAUAGACGGCUAAUUUGCUGGUUCCUGCUUGCAGGUAUUGGUGAAUUCGGUCGGCUUUGAAGCCGCCAAUGACAUCGACAUACUGGCGUCAGCAGUGUCAGCGUCGGUCACCCGUCCGACCCGUCUUGAAACACGGACCAAGGAGUCUAACAUAUGCGCGAGCCAAUGGGUGAAAAACCUACGGGCGCAAUAAAAGUAAAGGCUGUUUCGGACAGCUAAGAUACGAUCCUGGAGUCGCGAGACUUUAGGCGCAGUAUCGUCCCGUCCUAUCCGCAUAUCGGUAGGGCGGAGAUAGAGUGCAUACGUUGGGACCCGAAAGAUGGUGAACUAUGCCUGAGCAGAACGAAGCCAGAGGAAACUCUGGUGGAGGUUCGUAGCGGUUCUGACGUGCAAAUCGAUCGUCAGACUUGGGUAUAGGGGCGAAAGACUAAUCGAACCAUCUAGUAGCUGGUUCCUUCCGAAAUCCCUAGUGAUUUCGGAAGGAACCAGCUUC